AUGGAGAGCAGCCACCCCAGAAGAGAGAGCCCCAGCUGGGGACUUGGGAAACUGGGAUCCCAUCCUGACUCUGCCAGCAACUCCUGGGCUUGGGCAAUACAACGGAAGCUAGAAGUCCAAGACCAAGGUGCCAGUACAGUCGGGUUCUGGUGAGGGCCAUCUUCCAAGUUGCAGACUACCAACUUCUCCUUGUAUCCUCAUGUGGUGGAAAGAGGGAUCUUCUGUAAGUGAAACCCACAUGAUAUUGGACAAGAGGUGGCUAAACAAUAAAGUUCCAGGCUGCUUUUGCUUGGGAGAUGUCUAAUGAUACUGUGCUGGAAGUGUCCUGGUGCUUGUAAAUGGAGGACCCAUUUUCGGUUUGGACUCUAAUCAGGAGGAGACUCUUCCCACCUAAGAGGUUUUAAGACCUUCCAGGAAGACAACAUGUGGGGACCAGAGCUUCCAGGACUUGUGAAUCUUGAUUCUGACUGAGAAAAUGCACCUCCAACAUGAUCACGGGGCAAGGGAGUAUGGAGUACUCCAGCAUCGUCAGCGUGGGAAACCGUGCUCCAGCAUGAUCGGUGAGCAGCCACAGCAUCCAUGGAGCUGCCUGUCCCAGCGUAAAGAAGCACAGACUAAAAACUCCCUGUGAUCAGUAUGUCAGGGUCUAGAAAAACUGAUGGGUGUCAAAUCCAGAUGAGGCCAUGAGGAAGCAGAGGAAUGUGGCCCAGAGAGGAGGAUGCUACCAUCUCCAGGACUUCCUCUAGCCACUUGGAUGCCAGAUAUCCCCACCCACCCCCUCAUCCUUCCUAAUUGGCCCCAGAACUCAUGGUACAGUCUCUGUUUGAUUCAUUUUAUAUGAGAUUAUUCAGGGGCUGGUAUUUCCAUAUCAUUCCAGAGAGUGAACUCAGGCAUCCUCAGCUAAUCUUCAUCAACGGCCAGGCUAAAGACUGCCAGGGAUCGCUCUGUAGAUACCUGGACCAGGUGAGGUCUAUCCAGCAUCUAGAAUCAGGGUUCAGCACCCUGAGCAGGAAAACCCAGGACAGCAACUUCCCUUAGAGAACUCUGUUUGAACAGGCUUGCUUCUUUCUGAAUGUGCUACUUCUACUGGAUGAGGAAAGCCCUUUGUAAUAAAUUCAGUAAAAACAUCACAAAGGAGAAGGAUACAAAAGAAAAUAGCAACAUGGCCUGCUUUGGGGGAGAACAUCAGGACAGUUGGGGAAGAGUGAGAGGAAGACUUUUAUUGUUUUCCCUUUAUACCUUUUGACUUUUUAAACUACUCAUUACCAAAUCAA